rnacentral:lncRNA from 1 species
UCAACAUCUCUCUUCUUCCUUCUUUUUCUUUUUACGCAGACUCCAUUUCUCUCUGUUCUCUCACCUGCGUCUCUCACUUUCCCUCUCCCUCUCGCCCGGCGACGUCGCCAGUCCUCGCCGCCUCCGGCGCGGCGAGGCCGGCGUCUCUCUCCCCUUCUUCUUCCUUUCCUUCCCUUUUCCCCAAUUCUUAAUUCAAAAUCAACCUAGGGUUUCUAAUUUUCCCCCCUUCAACUCCAGUCAACCGGCGAGUUUCACUGCCACCGUUGUCCCCGUCGCACUGCCACCUACUCCAUCUCAGGUAAGCUUCUCUUUCUCCCUCUUUUUCUCUCUGUCUCUCGAUCUCUCUCUCUGCCUUCUCUGCGCUCUUAUCUCGAUCUCUCUCUCUGCCCCUUUGCUUGCAGCGGCCGCUGCGAGCCGCAGCGGCGCAUGCAGCGCCGGCGGUCGCCGCCGCUCUGCUCUUCUCUCCCUGCCUCUAUCUCGCUCUACUUUCUCUCAUGUCCGUGUCUCUCUGUUUUUGUCUUACUCUCUCUCGCUCAAACUCUCUGUGCUACUGGCGGCCACCGCGGACCGCCGUGGCGUGGGCAGUGCCGGCGGUCGCUGCCGCCAGUCGCGCCUCCGUCGCGGUGGCUCGCGGUUGCUGCUGCUGCUGCCAUCCUUUCCC